GAUCAAGCGACUAAGUGCACAUGGUGGAUGCCUUGGCGAUUACAGGCGAUGAAGGACGUAGUAGCCUGCGAAAAGCUACGGGGAGCUGGCAAACGAGCUUUGAUCCGUAGAUAUCCGAAUGGGGAAACCCACUCCGCAAGGAGUAUCCCCUGACUGAAUACAUAGGUCAGUGGAGGCGAACCGAGCGAACUGAAACAUCUAAGUAGCUCGAGGAACAGAAAUCAACCGAGAUUCCCUGAGUAGUGGCGAGCGAAAGGGGAACAGCCUGCAAGAGUUAACGUUCUGGUUAGUGGAACAGCCUGGAAAGGCUGGCCGUAGUGGGUGAUAGCCCCGUACGCGAAAGCCAGGAUGCGAGACUAAGCUUGCGACAAGUAGGGCGGGACACGUGAAAUCCUGUCUGAAUAUGGGGGGACCAUCCUCCAAGGCUAAAUACUCGUAAUCGACCGAUAGUGAACUAGUACCGUGAGGGAAAGGCGAAAAGAACCCCGGGAGGGGAGUGAAAUAGAUCCUGAAACCGCAUGCAUACAAACAGUGGGAGCCUCGCAAGGGGUGACUGCGUACCUUUUGUAUAAUGGGUCAGCGACUUACGUUCUGUAGCGAGCUUAACCGAAUAGGGGAGGCGUAGCGAAAGCGAGUCUGAUAAGGGCGCUUUAGUUGCAGGGCGUAGACCCGAAACCAGAUGAUCUACCCAUGGCCAGGAUGAAGGUGCGGUAACACGCACUGGAGGUCCGAACCCACUAAUGUUGAAAAAUUAGGGGAUGAGCUGUGGGUAGGGGUGAAAGGCUAAACAAAUCUGGAAAUAGCUGGUUCUCCCGAAAGCUAUUUAGGUAGCGCCUCAUGUAUCACUCGCGGGGGUAGAGCACUGUAAUGGUUGGAGGGGUCAUUGCGAUCUACUCCGCCAUAGCAAACUCCGAAUACCGUGAAGUGCGAGCAUGGGAGACAGACGGUGGGUGCUAACGUUCAUCGUCAAGAGGGAAACAACCCAGACCGCCAGCUAAGGUCCCCAAGCCAUGGUUAAGUGGAAAACGAAGUGGGAAGGCAUAGACAGUCAGGAAGUUGGCUUAGAAGCAGCCAUCCUUCAAAGAAAGCGUAAUAGCUCACUGAUCGAGUCGUCCUGCGCGGAAGAUGUAACGGGGCUCAAACCAUGCACCGAAGCUGCGGAUAUCCGUAAGGAUAUGGUAGGGGAGCGUUCUGUAGGUCUGCGAAGGUGUGGUGUAAACCAUGCUGGAGAUAUCAGAAGUGCGAAUGCUGACAUGAGUAGCGAUAAAGCGUGUGAAAAGCACGCUCGCCGAAAGCCCAAGGUUUCCUGCGCAACGUUCAUCGGCGCAGGGUGAGUCGGCCCCUAAGGCGAGGCCGAAAGGCGUAGUCGAUGGGAAACGGGUCAAUAUUCCCGUACCGAUCACAGAUGCGAUGGGGGGACGGAGAAGGUUAGGCAAGCCGGGUGUUGGAUGUCCCGGUUUAAGCGUGUAGGCGUGCUGCAUAGGCAAAUCCGUGCGGCUUAGCUGAGGCGUGAUGACGAGGAACUUCGGUUCUGAAGUUGCUGAUACCCUGCUUCCAGGAAAAGCCUCUAAGCUUCAGUCUGUGACGACCGUACCGCAAACCGACACAGGUGGGCAGGAUGAAAAUUCUAAGGCGCUUGAGAGAACUCAGGAGAAGGAACUCGGCAAAUUGAUACCGUAACUUCGGGAGAAGGUAUGCCCCGUUAGCUUGUAGGAGAACAUCCGAAGGGCGAAGGGGCCGCAGAGAAUCGGUGGCUGCGACUGUUUAUUAAAAACACAGCACUCUGCAAAGGCGAAAGCCGACGUAUAGGGUGUGACGCCUGCCCGGUGCCGGAAGGUUAAGUGAUGGGGUGCAAGCUCUUGAUCGAAGCCCCGGUAAACGGCGGCCGUAACUAUAACGGUCCUAAGGUAGCGAAAUUCCUUGUCGGGUAAGUUCCGACCUGCACGAAUGGCGUAAUGAUGGCCACACUGUCUCCUCCUGAGACUCAGCGAAGUUGAAAUGUUUGUGAAGAUGCAAUCUACCCGCGGCUAGACGGAAAGACCCCAUGAACCUUUACUGUAGCUUUGCAUUGGACUUUGACGGGACUUGUGUAGGAUAGGUGGGAGGCUGUGAGGCGUGGUCGCCAGAUCGCGCGGAGCCAACCUUGAAAUACCACCCUGGUGUCGUUGAGGUUCUAACCUUGGUCCGUGAAUCCGGAUCGGGGACCGUGCAUGGCAGGCAGUUUGACUGGGGCGGUUCUCCCAAAGAGUAACGGAGGAGUACGAAGGUCUUUAAGCACGGUCGGACAUCGUGCUCAUAGUGCAAUGGCAAAAGAAGGCUUGACUGCGAGACCCACAAGUCGAGCAGGUGCGAAAGCAGGUCAUAGUGAUCCGGUGGUUCUGUAUGGAAAGGGCCAUCGCUCAACGGAUAAAAGGUACUCUGGGGAUAACAGGCUGAUUCCGCCCAAGAGUUCAUAUCGACGGCGGAGUUUGGCACCCUCGAUGUCGGCUCAUCACAUCCUGGGGCUGCAGCCGGUCCCAAGGGUAUGGCUGUUCGCCAUUUAAAGUGGUACGUGAGCUGGGUUUAAAACGUCGUGAGACAGUUUGGUCCCUAUCUGCCGUGGGCGCUGGAUAUUUGAGGGGGCCUGCUCCUAGUACGAGAGGACCGGAGUGGACGGAUCUCUGGUGUACCGGUUGUCACGCCAGUGGCAUCGCCGGGUAGCUAAAUCCGGAAGAGAUAAACGCUGAAAGCAUCUAAGCGUGAAACUCGCCUCAAGAUGAGAUAUCCCGGGGGUUCAACCCCCCUGAAGGGUCGUCCAAGACCAGGACGUUGAUAGGUCGGGUGUGGAAGCGCAGCAAUGCGUUAAGCUAACUGAUACUAAUUGCCCGUGCGGCUUGACCCU
rnacentral:rRNA from 1 species